CGUUUACCCGUAGCAAAUACUACCUAUCCGACUGCUUAGACCUAUCCGACGCUGAAUGGAGAGGGAGAAAGGAUAACAUCACACCGUGAAAUGAGACGUCAUAAUAUAUGCUCCAAGUACAGCUACGUUCCCAACUUUAGUUUCGAAUCGUUCGACCUGGACGACGAGAGGGAGGAAUGCGAGACUGAUCAUCUACUGAAGGGCGGGAAGCUGCGUCUGGAGGAAGCAUCCGGUAGGAAUCCGUGUGCCGGGCAACGGUACGGGGGCAGCCACGAGUUUAUCGCUUAAUACAAUUAAGCUUUUUCUCCCACUUUUCUACACUGUUAAUUUCUUGGUAGGUUAGAAUAGAAUUACCAUAACGGUUUGUGUUAUAAGCUACACUUCUGGCAUCACUGGAGCUGUCAUACGCUAUUCCCCAUACACACCGUGGUAUGCAAAGUGGGUUUAUUAUACAGGUGGGCUUAUCCCGAACAAAUUGACAGCCGUACUGUAGAAAAAUUAAAACGAAAUGACAGGAGGGGAUUCGAUCAUUUGUUGAUGCAUGCGUGUGAAUUCCAAUGGCUAUUUUGGUUGAUGUGUCGUAGUUUGGGUGAAAAACUACGUAUCACAAUCGAAUCCCCUCCUGUCAUUCGUUCGUACAAUAUGGCCUUCCCGCCAAACCUAUAAGCCCACCUAGUCUCUAUACCCACUUUGGUGGUAUGUGUUAACGGACAAACAUAGAAGGACGUAGUUGUACACCGAAGAACCCUGCACAGCAAAUGACACCAUACACCAAUAUGUCAAUCUGACGAAAUAUAUUUUUCUUUGCUUUUGUUAACUGAA